rnacentral:lncRNA from 1 species
AAUUUUUCAUCUGCAUUUAAGCCAUUCAGAUAUGCAAAAUGUGUGACAUAAUGUGAUGCGAUAAUGUAUCGCAUAUAUAACAUGUACCGAUUGUGUUUAUCAGAUCGGCUUACAAGAAAAGGAAAUCAUGAACUGUGAUCUAACUAAGACAUGCUGAACCUCAUAUUUGAGCUAUGUCCAAUGUACAUCAAAAGCUUUUCAGACAUGCAUUUUUCUCUGUCAUCAAAGUUAAGCUUGGCUUAGCACUUCCAACUGCAUCCUCUCUUCAUAUAUCUGUUUCAUUUUCAAAAAUGCAGCAAUUAGGGUUUUUCUGUCCCCAGUUGACAAGGUAUAGAUGUAAAUUUCUCUAUAUAUAUAAGCUUGUAAGGAAAAACUGGAGACUUAGUCAAAUUUUUACCAUUAGAAAUUAAUGAAGCUAUUAUUAAAAAUGAAAUCAAUAUAUAAUUCUUGUUCUCAUUUCAUAACCAAAGCAUCUCACUUCUCAUAUUAAUCACAUAUAAUUAGUACCAUAUGCCCCAAAUAACAUUUAUUUUCUCCUAAUUUUCAAAGAAACCAACCAAAUGUAAAUUCGACACAAGCACAUUCAACACAUUUGUACCAAUCUUUUGAUCCCCUUAUGGUACAGAUAUGAAUGUAAAGUGUUGAAAGGGAUAUAAAUUAGGGAGAUUCUCAAAUAAGUACUUAAGUUAAAGAUUGGUUACAUAUUUUUAAUUUCGGUUAUUGAAUUGCAUUUAUUAGAUGUGUUGGUAGAUUUAAUUCAAUAACCGAGAUUAGAAAUAUAUAACUAAUCCUUAACAUAAAAUACUUAUUGGAGAAUUUUCCUAUAAAUCAAAACCUAUAGUAUGUUUCCAGAAUUAGAAGAAAUUGUUAGAUUAUAGGGGAGGGGCAAAUAAUUUUGAUUAAAUGCUGGAUCAUGUGAGAAAAUACCUCCAAUAAGAGCAACUCCAACGGAAGGGGCGCCCGGGCAAGAGGCCCUCUAGGCCCCUAAUCCAGUUUCCAGCUGUCAAGGCUUGUCAGGGCAAGCACUGGGCUCUACUAGCCCGGACAAGGCCCAAGACAAGACUUGCUUGGACUACUGCCUGAGCAAGAUGACUUAAUGCUAACUUCAACAACCAAUUUAAAUAAUAAACAAAAAAUAUAAAAAAAUAUAGAUUUUUCAGAUUUUUUUUAUAUAAAUACGUAGCCAUAUUCUUUACUUCUCACACCAAAACUUUAUACAAAUUUAUUUCUUCAUAUCUCAUGUGAAUAGUGGUUGUCAUUGAGUUGCCAUGGCAAUGGGUAGAAAAUCAACAAAAAAAUUAAUAGGGUAAAUACUAUUCAUGUAAAUAAUAACAAUCAUUGUCUUUCUUUAUCUUUUACACUAACAAAUGAGUAAAAAUACUCUAAGACAACCAAUAAUCCAUCAGAGACAACAUUUUGUUCCUCCUAAAAAGUCAUAGGCUGCCAAGUACUUUCCCUAAAGCAACUAAUGCCAUGUCUGGUAUUUUUAGCACCAAUCACAUCCAAAUCGGCCUACAAAGAUAUUGGAUUUCUUUCUUGUACAUGAUAACUACUGACAGCAAAUAUGAGGCUCUAUCCUGUAUAGUCCACCUACCAAAUAUGAUUACUUACUUCAAUAGCUCUGAAAGAGAAUAUCUCAAAUUUUCAUUUUUAGGUAUUCCAUCACAUCUCCUUAUCAAAUAAUAACGACUAACUUCAGCAUCACAAUCAAAGCCUCAAAAGCUACAAAAAAAAAAGCUUACAUGUGUUAUGAAAGAAGAUAUACAUAAUUCAUAUAAAGAAAAACAAACUAAAC